rnacentral:rRNA from 1 species
CUCAAAUGAAUUGACGGGACCGCACAAGCGGUGGAUGAUGUGGUUUAAUCCGAUGCAACGCGAAAACCUUACCCACCUUUGACAUGGCAGGAAUCCUAAAGAGAUUUGGGAGUGCUCGAAAGAGAACCUGCACACAGGUGCUGCAUGGCUGUCGUCAGCUCGUGUCGUGAGAUGUUGGGUUAAGUCCCGCAACGAGCGCAACCCUUGCCAUUAGUUGCUACGAAAGGGCACUCUAAUGGGACUGCCGGUGACAAACCGGAGGAAGGUGGGGAUGACGUCAAGUCCUCAUGGCCCUUAUAGGUGGGGCUACACACGUCAUACAAUGGCCGGUACAGAGGGUAGCCAACCCGCGAGGGGGAGCCAAUCCCACAAAGCCGGUCGUAGUCCGGAUCGCAGUCUGCAACUCGACUGCGUGAAGUCGGAAUCGCUAGUAAUCGCGGAUCAGCAUGUCGCGGUGAAUACGUUCCCGGGUCUU